rnacentral:tRNA from 1 species
AUUAAGAUGGCAGAGCCCGGUUAUUGCAUAAGACUUAAGAUCUUACUCUCAGAGGUUCAAAUCCUCUUCUUAAUA